UACAGGGGGUGCAACCGUUGCUCGGAAUUACUGGGCGUAAAGCGCGCGUAGGCGGACCUGCAAGUCGGGGGUGAAAGCCCGAGGCUCAACCUCGGAACUGCCUUCGAUACUGCGGGUCUCGAGUCCGGGAGAGGUGAGUGGAAUUCCUGGUGUAGCGGUGAAAUGCGCAGAUAUCAGGAAGAACACCCGUGGCUAAGGCGGCUCUCUAGUACGGUACUGACGCUGAGACGCGAAAGCGUGGGGAGCGAACAGG
rnacentral:rRNA from 1 species